CGGUAAAUAACGUGUUUAUUUUUUAUCAGAUGUAAAAAUUAAAUUGAUUAAAAUUCCAGUGUUGCUUGCGAACUAAUUUGAGAUCAGUGCAGUUGUGUAUUUUCAAAGCGAGGCUGACAAAAAUUGAAAUUUGAAAAGUUGAAUGAUAUAAAACACGAUACGAAAACUCGAGAAAACUGGCAAGAAACACACAAAAAGACGUAUAGUUUCAGUAAAAAUGUACAUGCUUUUUUCAUGAAUAUGGUAUAGAAGAGAAGCUUUGGAAUAAAAACUUUUAUGCCUGGCGUUUUGGCUUUGGCUUUGACAAAAUCAGUUGCUCCUGACAACGACAAGUUCAUGUUCAGAUCAGAUCAAAAACAUAUAAAAAUGAAUCUGUUUUGAUUUAAUCAACGUUUUUCUACUAAAAGGUCAAUGAAAAGGGUAUGUUGUUUUUAUAUUUUUGUAUUUUUUCUUGUCGUUUCACGAUAAUAUGCUUGAAAAAAUUGUUUUUAAUUUAAACACAAACUUUUACUUUGUUUACAACAUUUAUAUCAGUGAAGAAUGUAUGACACAAAUGGGUAGAGAAUAUAUUCGUGACUUGUUUUCACUGCUGCAAAUAAAACUUUUUUUAAAUGGGAAAACAUUUAUUUUACAAUAACUGUUUAAGCUGUAAUUUUUUCGCUUUUAAGUGGCCGAAUACAUGAGCAUUUAAAAAAUAUGUAGUUUUCUCGACGUAACUUUUAUACAUGUCGAAUAAUUUUCCGACUUUCAGUCGCAUUUCUAUCAAAAUAUUGUCAAUUCUGGUGAACAUCGUGCUUAGUAUGAAGCCUUUAGGGCUUGAUGCAAUUCAUUAUUGUAUUCUGACUAUCGUUAGGCUAUGUUUUUCAAACGUUUUUGGCAGAUUUUUUCUUUUAAAAAAUUGUUUCACUCCUCAGUUUUUGUCGCGAAAGCCAGAGCGGGCAGUUGCAUUUCACAGCGGGCAGUUGCGUUUCAGAGCGGGCCGGAUGCAAAAAACCGGCCCGCUCUGAAAGGCUCUCAGCCAAUCAGAUUGCUUCAUUUUCACUGAUA
rnacentral:lncRNA from 1 species